rnacentral:sRNA from 2 species
ACACAAUAGAAAAAGUUAUAGGUAAUGGAAGUUUGGUGAAAAUCCAACGCGGUCCCGCCACUGUGAUAGAUCGAAUGUUCGAUCUUAAGUCAGGUCGUUUGCCUAGUAACUUUGUCUGGCCAGUCAUUUCGAGGCGAAAGUGACUGGUUUAC